UGGCGGCCUUAGCGCGGUGGUCCCAUCUGACCCCAUGCCGAACUCAGAAGUGAAACGCCGUAGCGCCGAUGGUAGUGUGGGGUCUCCCCAUGCGAGAGUAGGGAACUGCCA
rnacentral:rRNA from 1 species